rnacentral:snoRNA from 1 species
UGCUCUGAUGAAACCACUAACAGGAAGUGCCAUCAGCAGUGAAAAAUCAGUGCAGAAAUGACU